rnacentral:rRNA from 1 species
UAGAAGCAGCCACUCAUUCAAAGAGUGCGUAAUAGCUCACUGGUCGAGUGAUCCUGCGCCGAAGAUUUCCGGGGCUAAAACUUACUACAGAAGCUACGGCAUCAGUAAUGAUGGGUAGGGGAGCAUCACAUACGGGUUGAAGCAUGCCCGUAAGGCCAUGUAGACAGUAUGGGAGUGAGAAGGUUGGCAUGAGUAGCGAGAGGUUGGUGGUAAUCCCACCGGCAGUAAACCCAAGGUUUCCAGGGGAAGGUUCGUCCGCCCUGGGUUAGUCGGGACCUAAGCUGAGGCCGAAAGGCGUAGGUGAUGGAC